rnacentral:rRNA from 1 species
UACGUAGGGUGCAAGCGUUAAUCGGAAUUACUGGGCGCAAAGCGUGCGCAGGCGGUUUUGUAAGUUUGUCGUGAAAGCCCCGGGCUCAACCUGGGAAUGGCGAUGAAGACUGCAAGGCUUGAAUCUGGCAGAGGGGGGUAGAAUUCCACGUGUAGCAGUGAAAUGCGUAGAGAUGUGGAGGAACACCGAUGGCGAAGGCAGCCCCCUGGGUCAAGAUUGACGCUCAUGCACGAAAGCGUGGGGAGCAAACAGG